AUUGAACGCUGGCGGCAGGCCUAACACAUGCAAGUCGAGCGGAUGAAGGGAGCUUGCUCCUAGAUUCAGCGGCGGACGGGUGAGUAAUGCCUAGGAAUCUGCCUGGUAGUGGGGGAUAACGUCCGGAAACGGGCGCUAAUACCGCAUACGUCCUGAGGGAGAAAGUGGGGGAUCUUCGGACCUCACGCUAUCAGAUGAGCCUAGGUCGGAUUAGCUAGUUGGUGGGGUAAAGGCCUACCAAGGCGACGAUCCGUAACUGGUCUGAGAGGAUGAUCAGUCACACUGGAACUGAGACACGGUCCAGACUCCUACGGGAGGCAGCAGUGGGGAAUAUUGGACAAUGGGCGAAAGCCUGAUCCAGCCAUGCCGCGUGGGUGAAGAAGGUCUUCGGAUUGUAAAGCACUUUAAGUUGGGAGGAAGGGCAGUAAGUUAAGACCUUGCUGUUUUGACGUUACCAACAGAAUAAGCACCGGCUAACUUCGU
rnacentral:rRNA from 1 species